AACGAACGCUGGCGGCAUGCCUAACACAUGCAAGUCGAACGCCCUCUUCGGAGGGAGUGGCGCACGGGUGCGUAACGCGUGGGAACCUGCCCUUAGGUUCGGAAUAACUCAGAGAAAUUUGAGCUAAUACCGGAUAAUGUCUUCGGACCAAGGAUUUAUCGCCUUUGGAUGGGCCCGCGUUGGAUUAGCUAGUUGGUGGGGUAAAGGCCUACCAAGGCGACGAUCCAUAGCUGGUCUGAGAGGAUGAUCAGCCACACUGGGACUGAGACACGGCCCAGACUCCUACGGGAGGCAGCAGUGGGGAAUAUUGGACAAUGGGCGAAAGCCUGAUCCAGCAAUGCCGCGUGAGUGAUGAAGGCCUUAGGGUUGUAAAGCUCUUUUACNGGGAUGAUAAUGACAGUACCCAGAGAAUAAGCUCCGGCUAACUCCGUGCCAGCAGCCGCGGUAAUGUGACUACUG
rnacentral:rRNA from 1 species